GCCCAAUGAUGAGACCAAGGCGAAUACGAGCUUACUGAAUGAGAGUUGGGUUCUUCUUGCCUUGAUUGGCAGGUAAUCUUGGUGGUGUAGAGGAGGAUUUCUGCUCCGCUGUAAGGGCCUGCCUACAGUGACAUGGCUCGCCCAAAUUAUUCCUUAAAAGUUACAGUGGAGUAAUAACAGGGAUGAUGCCAACAGAGUGUGUGUGUGUGUGUGUGUGUGUGUGUGUGUGUGUGUGUGUGUGUGCGCGCAUGCAUGCAUGUGUACGAGGCAAGGAGUUCACCCAGCUCUCUUUGCCGUUCAGUCUGCCAUGAGUUGCUUCUUUGGUAAUCUGAGGGCC